rnacentral:rRNA from 1 species
GACGUAGGGCGCGAGCGUUGUCCGGAUUUAUUGGGCGUAAAGAGCUCGUAGGCGGCUUGUUACGUCGACUGUGAAAACCCGCGGCUCAACCGUGUGGUCUGCAGUCGAUACGGGCAGGCUAGAGUUCGGUAGGGGAGACUGGAAUUCCUGGUGUAGCGGUGAAAUGCGCAGAUAUCAGGAGGAACACCGGUGGCGAAGGCGGAUCUCUGGGCCUUGCCUGACGCUGAGGCGCGAAAGCUAGGGGGAGCGAACAGG